rnacentral:rRNA from 1 species
GAUGAACGCUGGCGGCGUGCCUAAUACAUGCAAGUCGAGCGAACGGACGAGAAGCUUGCUUCUCUGAUGUUAGCGGCGGACGGGUGAGUAACACGUGGAUAACCUACCUAUAAGACUGGGAUAACUUCGGGAAACCGGAGCUAAUACCGGAUAAUAUUUUGAACCGCAUGGUUCAAAAGUGAAAGACGGUCUUGCUGUCACUUAUAGAUGGAUCCGCGCUGCAUUAGCUAGUUGGUAAGGUAACGGCUUACCAAGGCAACGAUGCAUAGCCGACCUGAGAGGGUGAUCAGCCACACUGGAACUGAGACACGGUCCAGACUCCUACGGGAGGCAGCAGUAGGGAAUCUUGCGCAAUGGGCGAAAGCCUGACGCAGCAACGCCGCGUGUAAGAUGAAGGUCUUCGGGUCGUAAAGCUCUUUUAGUAGGGAGGAAGAUAGUUGUGAGUAUCUGUGCGCAUCUUGACGGUACCUAAACAGAAAGCCACGGCUAACUACGUG